UUACGACCAUAUCACGUUGAAAUAUUGGUUCUCGUACGAUCACCAAAGUUAAGCUAAGUCGAGCUUGGUCAGUACCUAGAUGAAUGACCGCUUGGAAAUACCAGGCUGGUGUA